GACGAACGCUGGCGGCGUGCUUAACACAUGCAGGUCGAACGGAAAGGCCCUGCUUUUGUGGGGUGCUCGAGUGGCGAACGGGUGAGCAACACGUGAGUAACCUGCCCUUGACUUUGGGAUAACUUCAGGAAACUGGGGCUAAUACCGGAUAGGAGCUCCUGCUGCAUGGUGGGGGUUGGAAAGUUUCGGCGGUUGGGGAUGGACUCGCGGCUUAUCAGCUUGUUGGUGGGGUAGUGGCUUACCAAGGCUUUGACGGGUAGCCGGCCUGAGAGGGUGACCGGCCACAUUGGGACUGAGAUACGGCCCAGACUCCUACGGGAGGCAGCAGUGGGGAAUAUUGCACAAUGGGCGGAAGCCUGAUGCAGCAACGCCGCGUGCGGGAUGACGGCCUUCGGGUUGUAAACCGCUUUCGCCUGUGACGAAGCGUGAGUGACGGUAAUGGGUAAAGAAGCACCGGCUAACUACGUG
rnacentral:rRNA from 1 species